UACGUAGGGUGCAAGCGUUAAUCGGAAUUACUGGGCGUAAAGCGUGCGCAGGCGGUUUUGUAAGUUUGUCGUGAAAGCCCCGGGCUCAACCUGGGAAUGGCGAUGAAGACUGCAAGGCUAGAGUGUGUCAGAGGGGGGUAGAAUUCCACGUGUAGCAGUGAAAUGCGUAGAUAUGUGGAGGAACACCGAUGGCGAAGGCAGCCCCCUGGGAUAACACUGACGCUCAUGCACGAAAGCGUGGGGAGCAAACAGG
rnacentral:rRNA from 1 species